AAAAUAGAUUGGCCCAUCGAUUUUUUUUGUGUGUGUGGCUGCUUUGGGUCUUCGUUGCUGUGUGCAGGCUUUCUCUAGUUGCGGCAAACGGGGGCUACUCUUCGUUGAAGUGCGCGGGCUUCUCAUUGCAAUGGCUUCUCCUGUUGUGGAGCACGGGCUCUAGGCACGCGGCCUUCAGUAGUUGUGGCACGCGGGCUCUAGAGCGCAGGCUCAGUAGUUGUGAUGCAAGGGCUUAGUUGCUCCGCGGCAUGUGGAAUCUUCGUGGACCAAGGCUCGAACCUGUGUCCCCUGCAUUGGCAGGCGGAUUCUCAACCACUGCACCACCAGAAAAGGGCGGCCAAUCUCUCUUGCAAAAGUCCUUCUAUUUACCUAGCAGACACUGUUUUCUCCUAUUACAAGGAAACUGGGUUUUCUCGGCCCGAAUUUCUUAAAAUUACAUUUGGGGCUGAAUAAACAAAUACAAAUUACUUUCUUUUCCUGGAGCACAAUCAUAAAACAUUUUUCUUGAAGAAUAAUGUCUCACUAUGGAGACUGUCAAUUUAACCUGUUAUUUUACUGGCUGUUUCUGAUUUACCUACCUCCCUACCUCUAGAUGGUUCAUCUAUAUAAUUGGCUACUACUGGUUAGAGAUAAUAAAUUCAUCUUUUGAGAAACUCUACCAAAAGACUUCUUUUAAAGAUGUGCUGUCUCAUGCCCAUCAUGUCUAGUGUUAUGGGUUGAGCUGUGUACCCCUUCCCACAGAUAUGUUGGGGUCCUAAACUCUGGUACCUCAGGAUGUGACCUUAUUUGGAGAUAGUCUUUACACAGACAAUAAAGUUAAAAUAAGGUAAAAUUAGUGUGAAACCUAAUCCAGUAUUGCUGAUGUCCUUCUAAACGGGAUAUUUGGACCCACACAUGCAUGCAGGGAGAAUGCUAUGUGAACAGGUGGCCAUCUACGAGUCAAGCAGAGAGGCCUGGAACAGAUCCUUCCCUAACAACUCUCAGAAGGAACCAGUCCUGUUGACACUUUCAUUUAGGACUCCUAGCCUCCUCCCCGCCGCCCUGCAGGGUUGUGGUACUUUGUUCUAGCAGCCCUAGCAAAAUAAUACAUCUAGUGAUUACAAGUGAGGUCUGUGUUACACCCCCUCUAAAAUGUUUUUCUGGUCCCUAACUUCGAUGUUUUGCAUGGUGGUCUCUAAUAUAAUACUGAUUGCUGGUGUUUAUUGGGUGCUGUGGCAGCACUGCUCUAAGAGUUUCACAUGUAGUAAUUUGUUUAAUCCUCACAAAACCUGUGAGGUUGAUGCUGUUGUUAUUCCCAUCUUAUGGGUGAGAACAUCAAGGGAUAGAGAAGGUCAGUAAUUACUCCAGGUGACACAAGUUAGCAAAUAGCAGAUCCUGGAUUUGGGUUGGUACUCUGGGUUUUGAGUGCGUAUAUAUAAUUCCUACACUAUGCUGCUUAUGAGUGUAGCCAAGUGGGGGCUUUAUAAAAUAGACAGGAAGGAUUCAGCAGAAAGAGGGGCAGGAAGAGAGUGAAGAUUACUCAUAGGUUUUGUGGAUUGGAGGGUUGAACCAGGAAGAAGGUGUCUGCUUGCUGCUCUCUGGCGGCCCCUGCCGACAGGGGGGAGAGAGACAAGGUGGUCUGAACCGGAAAUGCAAAGUUGCUGGGAAGGCAUUCCUGGUGCUGUUGGAGGUGGGGUGGGAUUGACAGGAAUCCCCACCCACCCUACGCGGGGGAGCGCCGUUAUUGGAGGCGCUCUCGGAGGGAGGCUGGCUGGUAAACCCGGAAAGGGGUGCUUGUAGUUCCAGCCGGAGGGCCUCUUAGGGCCUUCCCAGGAUCCUCCCUACGCAGUCCUCUCACGUGUGACCCCUUGGCCACACCCUGCUGCUCUCAGAGGCGUGGGCUUCUGCUACUGGUUGAAAAGAAGUCAGGCCUCUCGGCGUGGCGUGGAUUUCCUUCCCGGGAUAGGCCUUAGCCCCUCCCCUUUCUCCCAGGCCCAAAAUGGAUCUCUGGAUUUGGGAGCUGCAGCUAUAGUUCCUUCAGCUUCAGAAUUCUGAGCAGCACGGACUGCGCCCCAGCCACGGAUAGGACUCCUUAGAACAUCAGCCUGUCAGGGCUGGGAGUCAUCCUCAGGAAUCCCUGCCUCUCUCGUUUUAAGGUUCAGCCCAUGACAGGAUGCAUGAUUCAGCUGAGACAGAUGAGACUUCAAUGGGGCCAGUUACUGGACCUGGCCUUCCAAUGACCACAACUGUGAUGAAACACGGAAAUAGUAUGGAACGCCUUCUACCAGGUCGUUGACCUUGAGGAUCUGACGAGUGCAUUUUUCACUGACUACCUGCCAACUACGGCGACUGGCUUCUCGUUUCUCUAC